rnacentral:lncRNA from 1 species
CGAUGGCCUGAUAAGCAACUAAGCGUCUGGCUUCGCGGGUUCAUGCCCGAGGCUGUGCGGUCGGGGGAGGCUGGGGGCUCAGCCGAAACCUCAGCUCCUCCUUACAGGCCUGGUUUGGAAACGGGCUGUACACUGCUGGGGGCCCCACUUUCCAAUGUUUACUUCUGAGAUUGGAAGAAGAAGACAAGAAACACCUCCUCACCCCCUACCCUCUGCCUCCACGCCCGCGACUCAGCCCAGGUGACCCAAACGGCAGAGUCAACUUGGCGCAACCGGAGCGUCCCCAUCGCGCCGGCCACCCCCAGCCCCCUUCGCCCCUCGCUUGGCCCCACAAUGCGCCGUUGUGCCGCGCCUGCCGUCAGGCCGGGGAUUUGGAGCAGGGAUGGGGGGAAUAUUCGUCAGAUAUUUAAAACAGAGCCGAGAGAACAAAGCAGGCCUUUGUGCAGCAGGGCGGCCCGGGAGCUGGGAGCCGCCGGCCCCCAAGCACUGUGCUGGGCCAGGAGAGUGCGCAUGCGCGCGGCGACCUGUGCGCUCGGGUUCUGUGCCGGCUUUUACCCCAGCUGAAUAACCUGGUGGUCACAAGAAAGCAAAGGGAUUUUUAUGUGACAUCAUCUUGGCAAGAAGCUCCCUUACCAACCUUGACCUCCAGGUCUCCAUGGCAACUGCUGCUGGGACAUCAUUGGCACCAGAUUGUGUCCCUUAAAGGCCACACUGCAGCAAGGGCAGAUAAACAAUUUCAUGGCAACAGUCACGUAGCAAUCUCAUUCUUAAAUGUGGGCUGGUUAGUUAGGAUGAUGUAAGUGGUUUUUUCCACUCUCUUCCGCAUUCUGACUCCAGAAUUCUGGGCCUAGGACAUAGUCAAAGAAUGUACCUUGGGGUAUGAGGUAAGAAAACAGGCUGGGGUGGGACUUGAAGAAGUACCUUCUUCUAGACACAGGGACAGAUUCUUUUUCCUUUCCCAGUUGAGAGUUCAUUUUCUGUCUCGGUUCAACAAAGGCAUGUUAUCUUUAUAUAAAGGAAGCUGUAAUAGACAGUCUCCAAGAUGGCAGCCUUUAGUUCUUUCCCUCCUCAGAUUCAUGAGCUGCUUCUCACCUCUUAAAUCUGGUCUACCUAUAGUGACUUGCUUGACCAACAGAAUAUGCUAGGAGCAACAUUCUGGAACUUCCAAGGCUUGGUUGUAAGAAGCUUUGCAAUAUCUGCCUGGAUCUCUUAGAACCUUCAAUAUGGGACACUUGCUCUAGAAAUCAGCCACCAUCCUGUGAGAAGUCCAAGCCACAGAGUGAGGCCAGAAAUAGUUGCUGCAGUCAAGAGCCCCAGCUGAGCUCUCAGCCAACAUUCAGCAUCACUGCCAGCCAUACGAAACCAAGAGCUAAUCAUCCUGAGUAUGAGAUGUGUUCUCUGGUGAGAUGCCUGGACCUCCACAGGGGAGGUUGUUCUCUUGAGAAAAUGCCGACUUCCCCUCGUCUUUCAGAGGCCCCCUUCCUGACCAAAAGGCUCAAGGUAAGCAAAGCUAGAGCCCAGUGUUUGGGCUACAUUCCAGACUCCUGGUGUUUCCAACCCAGAGGGGUUAUACUCACUGCAAAUCUUUACUCUCCCUAAAAGCAGUUUAACAGAAAGAAGACAUUUGAUCUUUCCCUAGUACAUCUCAGUAGUUUGAUUUUCACUGUCAUGUGAAUUCAAGACAUAGAAAAAUAAAACACAAAGCCUUACCGGCCCUACUGGUUUAUCCAUCAUAUUCUAUUACCUUCUAAGAAGUCUGCCUUAUUAGCAUAUCUGAUCACUUGAGGAACACCUGGCUAGAAUGUUUAGGUGGUAGCAAGGGAAUGAUUGGCUUAUUUUCCUCCCCAGAUGUCACUCUUUGGGCUCUCCACCCAGGGUCACUACUAGCCCAUAUGGCACCUAUGUACAAGUUAGAAAAGGCACCCCUUCCUCUUUGUGGAUACAGCCAUGCCAGGGCACAGCUUGGCAGGAUGAGUGCAGGCUGAAUUUCAGCCCCCAUCUGCCUUCUAUGCAUGUUGGCCUUUUGCAGUGAACAGCCUGUGAAACUAUAUGUGGUGGCCUUGCCUAUACUCAAUGUCACUAGCUCUCAUUUCUCUUCUUGGAAAGGUGCGUGUUGGAGAGGGAAGGGAAAGAAGAUGCUUGUUGCUGUUCAUUACGGACAGGUUCCCCAAGAGUGACACCGUACUGUGGGUAUGUUUUGAGUUCUGGGAGAGUUUCAGGGCAUUUUAUAGCUGGGCCAACUUUCCCUGGGACUGAGAAGUAGGGCUUGGAAAUUAAGGCAGUCCUGGGGGAGGGAACAGCUGGUCAGUCUGCCCAUAAUCCUGCCCAGAAACCUGACAGCAAACAGCCCUGGAUUUGCUCAUUUGAAUGCUUUAGGGGAAUUUCCAAGAACCCUUCACCCUCUUAUGAGAAAAAGAAGGUAGGUCCGUGGUGCUAUUCUCCCCUUGCCUCCCGUGAGCUUGGGUCUGUGGUUAGGACAUCUGGGCACAGGAAGUAUUAACCUGUCUCCGCUUUCAGAUCUGAAUCCAGUCACCUGUCAAGGGGCCUGCCUUCCUCACUUUGAUGAAUUAAUUUACAGAGUUCUCCAUGGUGCAGUCUGAGGGUGUCAGGAGGGGGCGAGUCUAGAAGACUCCCUGCGGGAUCUCAGGGGUAUCGUUUUCCCCAGCUGUGACCCAGCAUAAACACCUCUAAAAUUGAAUGAACAGCACAUAGCACGUCCAUAACACAAAUAGCCCUCAGGAGGAAUCGUGACAUCCAGUUUUUUUUUUUUUUUUUUUUGUAAAUGGAUACAUUAAUAGACCCAGCAUCAAAUCCUGUAAGUCACCAAGGGCUAUCAGGAAAUGUAGAGAUAUUUGUUCAUUGCCCAUUCAUUCAUUCAUUCAUGAAACAACUGAGUAUCUACCAUGUGCCAGCCCUGUGUUAGGCUCUGGGGGUGAGGAAGUGAGUGACAGAAAUGCACUCUUGCCUUUAAUUUAAAUGCCAUCACCUCAGAAAGGCCUUCCGUGACCACCCUCUUCCUAGACUUGUGACCUCCUAAGAACUCCCUUUUGGUAAACAGCCUCCCGCUUUAAUUACUUGAUCCAUAUUUGUCUUCCCCACUAGACUCAGCUUCAGGAGGAGAGAGACCAUGCCUGCAGGAAUCAAAAUGAAUCAGCACCAAUCCUGACCCAAGAUGAUAUGGGUUGACUGAAUCAGUUGUUCCUCAUCAAGUAUACUGGAAGUCAGAAUGGCUCCUCCUCCAUGAUGCCCCUGUACUUAGAGCAUCUGGCGUCUGUGAAGGGUCUAAUCCCAAGUGAGGAUUCUGCUCCUGAGACAGCCAGGACCAGACGAUUGCCAAGGUCCCUCCAGCCUAAAGGCAGUGACUCUAGAACAGAUGGGGCUGGAUGGUAACAGGGUAACUGGAGCUCAGGAAUGGAGGCCAGGUUAGAGGCAUGCUUGCCCAGUCAUUCCAGGUGCCCAGGUUCCAGGCUUAUCCCUCUUUAGGAGAGAAGUAAAGACAUGAAGAGGAACCCUCUGUGGGCCUGUGCUGACCCAUCUGCCACCCCCAACCAGAGGCAUGAGUGACAUGGGAAAGGGGAGUGGCGUUGGGGCUGCUUGGCCUGCCUCCUGCACCCCAAAGCUCUGGGUUCAAUUACACUCAUUGUCACUGUGCACAGAACCCACGUCACCACUGAGGAGAUCAGCUGGGCCCUGGCUGCUGACAGCUUGUUUUAUUCUUGCUAAGCCACUACAUCUUGGCUUUGUUGUUAUGUUUCCAAUAGCAACAGGAGAAAAGACAACUUUUUCUGCUUUGGGAGCUUAUUUUUUUCUCCCGUAGGAGAAAGCUCCAGCCUGAAGACUUGAUGUCCUUGGGGCCCCAAUGUGGCCUUAGCCCAGACCCUGGGGGCCAGUAAGGAGAAGUCCAGCUUAGCUCUGCCCCAGGGAAACAGCGGGUAGCUGAAGUCAUGGAGGAUCCAGGAGCCAGGAGCUAUCAACUCUUCUGGAAUUGGGCUCAGCUGCCCUUUUUAGUUUUGAAUGGCUACAAAAUAUCCACAGUGGCUUGGGUAGGCCUAAAGCAUAGACAGUGGAGAAAGGAAAAGGAGAGAAAAAAGGAACUUAAGAGUAGAGGAGAAAGGAGUGGGAGAGAAUGGCAAGAGAAGAAAGGUGGCUGUGGAGAAGUGCAGUGACACCAUCAGCACCCUUGGGCAUCACUUGGCAUUUGAAGCCAAAGAGGAUGACCCCACAGGCCUGGAUGAAAAAUAUAGAGGUUCUCUCUGGCAAGGGGCUUUUGCUUUCCAUUGAGAAGGAGCUGCCAUCAUGAAUGGAUGGAUGGAUGCAUGGACAGGUGGGUGGAUGGAUGAAUGAAACAAUAAGCGUGGUAUUCCCAGGAUUGAAUGAAUGAUAAAGGAAGGAAAAAUAAGUGAGAAGUGAGAGAAUCCAAUGAGGGGUUAAGCCAUCUUAGGCAGGGAUUGCCAAGGAGUGGUUUGGGAGGGCCUUGCCCCGUCCCCUCCAGUCUCCAUUGGCUUCCCCUAAAGUCUUUCUAAGUAAAUAAACAUGCAAUCUAAGUGGAAAAAUAGAGUGUUUACUAUACAAAACAGCCUGAUGAAAACCCCCUGGCUCCUGUAUCAGCCAAUAUUCCAUCCAUAGGUUCUCCUUUACAGAAACUCCCGAGCUGCCACUCAUCAACUACAAGGCAUUGUGUCUGCUUUUUCCAAAUCCCAUCCCAGACCAAUUGUAUUCAGGCUGUGGACAGACAGGUGAGGACCUGAAACAUGAUUAAAGGAUAUAGGGAAAAUAAACUUUAGAUUCACUUGAGAAUAGGAAGAGUUAAAGGGCCUUAAGCCUUUCAGUCACUCCUACUUAGGGAUUUGGGGUAUUAAUUAACAAUAGCAAAUCAUUGGGUAGAUUGUCUCUGCUCUCCCUUCAGUAAAAAAUGUCAGGUAUAGGCAUUUCUUCCUAUGCCCAGUAGGAAUAGUUCACUGGGGCCAGGAUCAAGGGUUAGGGGUCAAAGGACUAUACUCUCUAAGCCUUGAACCAAUAAUGUGAGCAGCUAGUGCAGAAGUGAGCAAGGCUCUUCUUUCAUGGAAGGUUCUUAUCAGAAACCAGAGCUGUCUGGAGGGACACAGUGAGUCAGAUUACAACAGCUACCCAUGGUGGGGACAGGUCAGAAGGGGUCACGCAGAGGCUGUAGGGAAGGUUGCUAUUCUUAGGCCCCUACUAUCUCAGGCGUCUGCUGACUCACUUGGG